UACAGAGGUCUCAAGCGUUGUUCGGAUUCAUUGGGCGUAAAGGGUGCGUAGGUGGCGUCGUAAGUCGGGUGUGAAAUUUCGGAGCUUAACUCCGAAACUGCAUUCGAUACUGCGGUGCUUGAGGACUGGAGAGGAGACUGGAAUUUACGGUGUAGCAGUGAAAUGCGUAGAGAUCGUAAGGAAGACCAGUGGCGAAGGCGGGUCUCUGGGCUGGUACUGACGCUCAGGAGCGAAAGCGUGGGUAGCGAACAGG
rnacentral:rRNA from 1 species